rnacentral:rRNA from 1 species
AGGGCACCACCAGGAGUGGAGCCUGCGGCUUAAUUUGACUCAACACGGGGAAACUCACCAGGUCCAGACACAAUAAGGAUUGACAGAUUGAGAGCUCUUUCUUGAUUUUGUGGGUGGUGGUGCAUGGCCGUUCUUAGUUGGUGGAGUGAUUUGUCUGCUUAAUUGCGAUAACGAACGAGACCUUAACCUACUAAAUAGUGCGAUUAGCUUUUGCUGAUUUUGACACUUCUUAGAGGGACUAUCGAUUUCAAGUCGAUGGAAGUUUGAGGCA